rnacentral:rRNA from 1 species
AUUGAACGCUGGCGGCAUGCUUUACACAUGCAAGUCGAACGGUAACAGGGUGCUUGCACCGCUGACGAGUGGCGAACGGGUGAGUAAUACGUCGGAACGUGCCGAGUAGUGGGGGAUAACGCAUCGAAAGGUGUGCUAAUACCGCAUACGUACUGAGGUAGAAAGUGGGGGACCUUCGGGCCUCACGCUAUUCGAGCGGCCGACGUCUGAUUAGCUAGUUGGUGAGGUAAAGGCUCACCAAGGCGACGAUCAGUAGCGGGUCUGAGAGGAUGAUCCGCCACACUGGGACUGAGACACGGCCCAGACUCCUACGGGAGGCGGCAGUGGGGAAUUUUGGACAAUGGGCGCAAGCCUGAUCCAGCCAUGCCGCGUGUCUGAAGAAGGCCUUCGGGUUGUGAAGGACUUUUGUCCGGGAGCAAAUACCCAGUGCUAAUAACGCUGGGGGCUGAGAGUACCGGAAGAAUAAGCACCGGCUAACUACGUGCCAGCCGCCGCGGUAAGAC